UUGGGGUAUGUAAUUUCUAAAAAAAAUAAACAAGAUAGUCACAUUUUGAGCCUCAAAGUCUUCUUUUGUCUAUAUUGAAACCAUUUUGAAGCGUACAAAAAGUAAAAACAGUUUAGUAUUCGUGUUUGACAUCCAGAGUAUACAUAUGACAUCACAUUGUUUAGAUGCUAAAGACGAUUCUACAGUUUUGCAGACUUUUUCAUUUAUGCCAUUUUUAAGCCAAAAUAUUUAUUAAAUGACAUUUAAUUUAAUAUGUGGCAUUAGAAUGGAGAUAACAGUAUUGUGUUUUAAUCUUGGCCUUCCAUAAACUUGAUUUGACUGUCGCAAACAUCCAUUUCCCUAUCUCUGCUCUGCGUCGCUAGGUGAACUCAAUUUGCGACAGUAAAAUCUACGUUUUAUGAAGGCCAAGCUUAAAAUACAAUAGUUAUCUCCUAAAUAUACACAGCUAAAGAAUAAUAUACAAGAAAAAUUGAUUAUUCAUUUUAAUUUACAAAUUAUCACAAAAGGUUUCAUUUUUAUCAGCACUUUCAAACAUUGUAAAUACACAAUUACAAACACAUGUAAAUAAAGCACUUG
rnacentral:lncRNA from 1 species